UCGAGCUCCAUGUAGCGAACCAUGUCUUUGUGAGAGGACCUUAACAAGAGGUAGCAUGCUGGCCUUAUGCCAUUGUUCAAUACUUUGCAUGUUAAAUGAACUCUUACACACCAUUGUUCAAUAGAUUGUUCUUCACAAGUUAGACUGAACUCUUACGCAUAGGACCAAUAUGGUGCGAACUAUGGGGCAAACCAUCGCUCACUAUCCACAAGCGGUCAGUUAAAAGAACAUAACCGUAUUAUCCAUGAUUUUUUUGGCUAUGGCUUGAUUGGUUAAACUAAAUACUCGCAGCAGGUUCAUGUGACGUGCCAUGUGAGAAGUCAAACGUGAAGACAAUCAAGUGAAGUUAUCAGAUAGUAUGCUUUAGUUGAACUGUAUAGAUGCGCUCUGGCUUGAUUUUGUUGUCUAACUCUACUCUGUGUAUCUAACUUAAUGUGAAUUGAUCGUCCUGCCUUAGUUUUGGAACAAAGAAAUGUUUCCCUUUUAUUAUGAGCCUCCAGAUCAUUUGUUGUACUGAUUAAAUAUUUCCUACUCACCUUGCUUUUGGUAUACCCAACAUUGUUCUUGAUUUACUUUUGGAACACAAUAUAUGUUUCCUCUUAUUCAUGAGCUUCC
rnacentral:lncRNA from 1 species